CUCUACGGCCAUACCACCCUGAACGCGCCCGGUCUCGUCUGAUCUCGGAAGCUAAGCAGGGUCGGGCCUGGUUAGUACUUGGAUGGGAAAAAGUCAGUAAUCUUUCCUC
rnacentral:rRNA from 1 species